UCCCUUUUACAAACUUUGGCAAACGCUUGUUUAUUUACAUCCACGCUACACCACAAAGUCACAGCUGUGGUUGUUAUACUGGUUUGUCUCUGCUGACAGUGGAACAGGGUGAUACAGCAAGUGAACAACAGAACUGGUGAGAAAGGCAAAUCAACCAAGACAAGACAAACUGCUCUCGUUAUACUUCUUCAUGUGCAUCCACUGCGUACAGACUGCCUCCCUCUAUUGAUCAGUCUUUACAUCUUCAGUUCUAAUAAAAGAUCACUGAUCAGCAGUUCAUGGCAACUCCUUUUUAUGCUAUAUACAUUGAGGCUAGAAGAAGAUGCCCAUUUUCAAUGCAGGUUUUAAACCAGUGGGCAGCUUCUAUGCUAGGCCACAGGAAUACAUAGCUUCAGGUGGAUCCAUCACUAAAAACGUAGAGUUAAAAAACUUGACGCAGCUUGACACUGGGUAGAUCUACACAAUGUCCAUGAGCAUCAAUUAAUCAGGACAAAAGAAAGAAAAAAAAGAGGUUUCUGGUGUUCUGAAGUUCAGAAGUUGAACACAACUGAAACAACAACAAGCUAGCUGCUAAUACCACAGAUUCAAAAAGUCAAAAAAGUGGUCUGUACUGCUGUAGAUGCAGAUCUCAGUUCUUUCAGGAGGAUUCAGUAGGAGGCGCUGUAGUCUUGAUGAUGAACCAGACUGAAAUCAUCCUGUUUCGUCCUGGUAGAAAUCCCCUUUGUGUGCUUCUUUAAUUCUUCAAUUUUAAUUCCCAAUACUAAAAUCACUAAAGUCUUUCAUAAAGACAAAAACAACAACAAGACAGAGAAGACCUUCAAAACAAAUCAAAAGAAUACAAGAAGAUGACACACACAGAUCUGAUUGACCCAGUCCGUCUGGGUCAGUGCUCUUCUGAUCUCCUCCCUGUGGGUCAGAAGGGUUUCAAACGUCCUUGUAUGAAAGUAUAAAAAAGCUCUGUCCAUGCAGCAUGCAUAGGCCUUAGAAAAAUGACACGGAGCCUCCUGACGUCUCGAGGUUCCGCAAAACAAAGGGCUUAAACAUUUAAACUCCUCAAAAAAUCUUAAUGAGCUGAAAAUGUUGCUGUAAAUGACGUAGAUGUAGAGGAAGAUGAAGAUGGUGUUCCCAUGGAUGUACCAGAAUCAAAUCUCAUUACUCAAAAACAAUGAGAUCUGGUAGAAAGCUGAGAACACUGAGAACAUUGAGAACACUGAGAUCAGUGAGCCUCCAAAAACUACACAAUUACAAAAAAAAACCUGAUACAGACCUCAAUGAUCAAGACUUUAGGUUAUUUAGUUAGUUAGGCUACGUUCACAUUACCAGGCUGAGGUGACUCAAAUCUGACCUGAG